rnacentral:lncRNA from 1 species
UGUACCCAGUGCCGACAGAUAAGGCCGAGGGUCUCACUGGAUCUGCACAGUGGGCAAUGGAAGCCUUGCCCUUAGGAAUCGAGCCCUGUGUGCUUCCCCUAUGACUUCACUCCCUAACUUCCAACACUAAGCUAAAAUGAAAGGUAAGUAUGCAUGAUUAGAAUGAUCUAGCCAAACAAAGCUUGCAUGAAUAAACGUACUCAGUUACACUUUUAGAAGUAUAAAUGUCCCCCACUGUAAUGGAAACCCGGUAACCCCUAGAUGAAUUUAUAAAGCAAUUCAGAGCAUUUCUGAGUUGCCUGAAGCUUAUCUACUUUAGAAGUACACAUUGCUACAGAAGAAACAGAAUAAGAAAUAUCUGACAGAAGCAGAAAAAUCACAAGUAGCUUCCUCUGUCACUCUAUCCAAACACAAUAUGCUAAGAGACCCCGUGCAAGCGACUCCACAGUACCCACCCUUAAGAAAGGGCCGACAUGCCUUGUAGGGUGCAUUUGCAACUUGCUUAGGGACAGUUUUUAAACUUCCCCAAAUACUUUUUUUCUAAUGUUUUAAUGUAAAAACGUAAUAACCUAACGGCAAAGUUGAAAGCAUUUUACGGUAAAAACCCCUAAAUUCUCCCCCAGGCUUUUGAAUGUGAAUGUAUUCUGAACAUAAUAGUCCAGAAGAGUCUUAUAUUACAAGAUGUAAUACAAAUCCCCACUGCACAUGGCUACAGAACCGUACUAUAAAAACUAUCACAGCAUUUUCUUGGAUUUGUUAUUAUAUGAAAAUUGAUUAAAGGUAAAUCACAUGUAAUUACCCAUUUGAUAGGUCUGACUGACAGGAAAGGACCCAGAUAAGAUCCUGGAGGCAAUGGGAUGUGUGGCUGCUCAACACAGACCGACCACACUUGCUCACUGCCGUGUCAUCUCAUACCCUUCCACCCUGGACAUACAUACCUUCUCACAUGCACCAAGACUCUGUGCAUGGAGAGAAUCCUCAAACCAACAGAAAAAUGAUUGACACAGAAGCCAAGUGCCAGCACUGCGUAUAAGUAACACUACCACCAUCCACAGUGAAGUUAAAAGGAGUUCGAGUAAAUUCUUAGAUCCAUCUUCAUACUUCCACUUCCUCAGACAGCCGGGAGAGCCACCUUUCAGAAGCUUUUUUCAUCUGAUCCUCAUGUCCUUUCAAAGGGAUGUUCACAAGUUUUGAGAACAAAUUUAGGAGUUUGAAGAAAAUGAGAGUAAGUCAUGGAGAGUAGAAGACAUUCCAAAGUGGUAAAUGUAGGCUGAAAAUGUAGCAUCUGAACCUGGGAGGCUCUGACCAUCUACUAUAAACGUGGACCUACUAACUGCAAUGAAGUAUCACAGGACUGUCUGAUAGACCAUUGUUCUGAUCUCUUGAAAAAGAGACUCUGUGUGGUACUCUAAGAAUUACAGUCCUCCCGCUCCGUGAUCAAGGUGUGCUCAUUCCAAGUUGUGAGAGUCUUCUGUGCUGAAAGACGAGCAACUACUUGCUGGGGCACCGAUUGGAGGGUCCAGGCAAGGUCAAGGUGCUGCAGCCAAUUCAUCAGUCCUGGGCACAGCCAACCUCCCAGCAGGGAAGGGGGCAUGUGAGGAACUACCUCAGGGGUCUGUGAAAGGGAAGUCACACCUCCAGAUAGAAUCUCAACCCUGAGAGGACCACAGAAC